rnacentral:sRNA from 1 species
CACUUGCGCCGGAUUGAUGAAGUGCACGUGUGUAUCAAUCGCGCCCGCGGUAAUGAUUUUACCUUCGCCCGAGAUCACUUCUGUGGAUGCUCCUAUAAUAAUGUCUACUUUGUCUUGUACAAGCGGGUUACCUGCUUUUCCGAUGCCCGAAAUUUUACCGUCCCGGAUUGCCAAGUCCGCUUUAUAAAUACCUGUAUAGUCAAGCACUACCACAUUUGUAAUAACCGUAUCAGGGACCCGUUCGUCUUCUUCCCGUG